ACCCUAGAGAGCAUUUUUGCUCAUCUCUUCUCUAUACCACAGCCAUCCAUCUAGAGAGGGUAGAGAGAGAGGGAGGUGAGUUAGAGAGAGAGAAAGGAAGGCUGCCAUAUUUUUCUAGAGAAGAAGAAGAAAGGAAGAAGAAGAAAAGAAAGAGAAGGAGAAGAGGGUUUCGAACCCUAGGUGACAAGGUUUUCUUGCUAGAGUGUUCUUGAUUCAACAAUCAAGAGAGGCUCGUUGAGAGGUUGUGAAUUUACUUAGCUCGGACCUGAGGUAGCAAAUAGGAUUUCUCUGUGGCACGCGGGGUGACAUGAGGAGUUCUAUCGUCGUAGGGUGUAUGGCGUGGGGUAUCCUAUGGACGGAAUAAACGAUCACUUUAGGACACCAUUUUAAUUAUGUUAUGUUUUAAGAGACUUUCUAAAUUAUCAGUGGGACUUAAUUAUUUAAUAUUGUUUCUUUUGAACUUUGCAUAAAAACGCAUAUUUUCUUUUUAAACUAAUGGGCCCAACUUGCAUUGUUUUAAGCAAAUCCCCACUGAGACCUUUAUAAAAAAUGGUUUUCUUUAUGGACCAACGAUAUGUGAAUGUUUUAAUAAGUACUAGUUUAGGGCGUUCUUUACAAAUAAAAAAUGCUCAUUUUGACCUAAGAUUUUACAAAGACCUAAAAGGCAUACCAAAAAUAGAAUUGGGAAAUUUUGGUAACAAUUGGAUAAGUAAAUUUCAAGUUAUGACCUAACAAAGUAUGUAGUUAAAAAAUGUGAAAAAAAUAGGGUUUUCACACAUAGUGUAAAAAUAAGAUUUUGGAACUUAAGGUAAAAAGUAAAAAAUUUCUUAUUGCAAGAUAAAACUUGGUAAGUCUUGAAAACAUAUG